rnacentral:rRNA from 1 species
UAGCGGAUAGUACCGUGAGGGAAUGGUGAAAAGUACCGCGGGAGCGGAGUGAAAUAGUACCUGAAACCGUGUGCCUACAAGCCGUGGGAGCGUCGCGCAAGAACUUCGGUUCUUGCGUCGUGACUGCGUGCCUUUUGAAGAAUGAGCCUGCGAGUUAGCGGUGUGUAGCGAGGUUAACCCGUGUGGGGAAGCCGUAGCGAAAGCGAGUCCGA